AUUGAACGCUGGCGGCAUGCCUUACACAUGCAAGUCGAACGCAUCCUUCGGGGUGAGUGGCAGACGGGUGAGUAACGCGUGGGAACGUGCCCUUCGGUUCGGGAUAACCCAGGGAAACUUGGGCUAAUACCGGAUACGUGCGAGAGCAGAAAGAUUCAUCGCUGAAGGAUCGGCCCGCGUCUGAUUAGCUAGUUGGUGGGGUAAUGGCCCACCAAGGCGACGAUCAGUAGCUGGUCUGAGAGGAUGAUCAGCCACAUUGGGACUGAGACACGGCCCAAACUCCUACGGGAGGCAGCAGUGGGGAAUAUUGGACAAUGGGCGCAAGCCUGAUCCAGCCAUGCCGCGUGAGUGAUGAAGGCCUUAGGGUUGUAAAGCUCUUUCGUCCGGGACGAUAAUGACGGUACCGGAAGAAGAAGCCCCGGCUAACUUCGUGCCAGCCGCCGCCGUAA
rnacentral:rRNA from 1 species